GACGAACGCUGGCGGCGUGCUUAACACAUGCAAGUCGAACGGAAAGGCCCUGCUUUUGUGCGGUUCUCGAGUGGCGAACGGGGGAGUAACACGUGAGUAACCUGCCCUUGACUUUGGGAUAACUUCAGGAAACUGGGGCUAAUACCGGAUAGGAGCUCCUGCUGCAUGGUGGGGGUUGGAAAGUGUCGGCGGUGGGGGAUGGACUCGCGGCUUAUCAGCUUGUUGGGGGGGUAGUGGCUGACCAAGGGUUUGACGGGUAGCCGGCCUUAGAGGGUGAACGGGCACAUUGGGACUGCGAUACGGCCCAGACUGCUACGGGAGGCAGUAGUGGGGAACAUUGCGCAAUGGGGGGAAGCCUGAUGCGGCAACGCCGCGUGCGUGAUGCCGUCCUUCGGGUUGUAAACCGCUUUCGCCUGUGACGAAGCGUGAGUGACGGUACUGGGUAAAGAAGCACCGGCUAACUACGUG
rnacentral:rRNA from 1 species